UCUUUCUCCGCCGGCGACCGGCGCACGGGUGAGUAACACGUAUGCAACCUGCCCCUGUCAGGGGGACAACCCGCCGAAAGGCGGGCUAAACCCGCGUACAUGCCACCGGGGCAUCCCGGAGGCAGGAAAGGCUUCGGCCGGACAGGGAUGGGCAUGCGGCGCAUUAGGCAGUAGGCGGGGUAACGGCCCGCCUAACCGACGAUGCGUAGGGGUUCUGAGAGGAAGGUCCCCCACACUGGUACUGAGACACGGACCAGACUCCUACGGGAGGCAGCAG
rnacentral:rRNA from 1 species